AGAACGAACGCUGGCGGCAUGCCUAACACAUGCAAGUCGAACGGGACCUUCGGGUCUAGUGGCGCACGGGUGCGUAACGCGUGGGAACCUGCCCUUAGGUUCGGAAUAACAGUUGGAAACGACUGCUAAUACCGGAUAAUGUCUUCGGACCAAAGAUUUAUCGCCUAUGGAUGGGCCCGCGUUGGAUUAGCUUAGUUGGUGGGGUAAAGCCUACCAAGGCGACGAUCCAUAGCUGGUCUGAGAGGAUGAAUCAGCCACACUGGGACUGAGACACGGCCCAGACUCCUACGGGAGCAGUAGUGGGAAUAUUGGACAUGGGCGAAAGCCUAGAUCCAGCGAAUGACCGCGUAGAGUGAUGGAAGGCCUUAGGGUUAGUAAAGGUCUUCCUUUUACGUGGGGUAUUCGGUAAUUAA
rnacentral:rRNA from 1 species